GAUGAAGAACGUAGCGAAAUGCGAUACGUAAUGUGAAUUGCAGAAUUCAGUGAAUCAUCGAGUCUUUGAACGCACAUUGCGCCCCCUGGUAUUCCGGGGGGCAUGCCUGUCCGAGCGUCAUUGCUGCCCUCAAGCACGGCUUGUGUGUUGGGCCCCCGUCCCCCUCUUUUUAGGGGGGGACGGGCCCGAAAGGCAGCGGCGGCACCGUGUCCGGUCCUCGAGCGUAUGGGAAGCAACUCUUUUUGUCACCCGCUCCUGUAGGUCCGGCCGGCGGCCUGCCCAACCCUCAAUCAAUCUUUUUAACCAGGUUGACCUCGGAUCAGGUAGGGAUACCCGCUGAACUUAAGCAUAUCAAAAGCGGAGGA
rnacentral:misc_RNA from 1 species